rnacentral:misc_RNA from 1 species
AAAAAAAAAAAAAAAAAAAAAUAGCUACGGUGAAAAAAAAAAUUUCAAAAUUUUUGUGAGAGUAGAUUACAUUUUUCUAAACACCUCUGCAAAAAAUCAGGUCAAAAUACCCAAAAUUGAAUUUUUUAGGGGGGGUGUGAUGGCUCAGACAUAGUCAUGUUUCCUCCUGCCAGACUUCAUUGUGUUCCUAAUGCUCUUUAGGGGGGGUGUGACUAGUUGGCCACUGGUGAGCACGGACGGGCCCAACUAGUUGCCGAAUUUGAUGUCAAGCUCUCUACCAUCCUCGGGGUCACUGGCGCAAGGGCGUG